GGUUCCAUAGUGCAGCGGUUAGCACGCCUGCCUCGGAAGCAGAGAGUUCUGGGGUCGAUUCCCAGAGGAACCA